UUAAGGGUUAAGUAUCAAUUUGGCCCCUAACGUAGAGGCCCCUGUAGCUAUUAACACCCUAUGGACAGGGGUGUGUCAACUAAGCCCCUGAAGUACCUAAUUUCCGCCAAUUAACCCCUCCGACUUAACGGACGGUUAACACCGUUAACUAUUUUAAUUUUUUAAUUUUUUUAUUUAUUGGUGGUGGGACCCACACCAUCUUCUUCACCAAGCUCGCCGGAAACACACCGGAAACCUAAUCCACCCCUUCCCCGAAACUCCGGCGUGGGGACGACAACGGUGGCCGACGGAGCUCUGGUGGCGAGCUCGGCAAGGCGGCGCGUUGAGGAGGCUCAACCGCUUUGUUGCUGCUCCUUGCGCUGCUAUGGAAGACCGAAGGUGGCGCUCAGGGCUGGAAAAGGAGGGAGAGUGGUGGCUUCGCGGUGGUGGUGCAGCAGAGCGCGACGGCGGCGCGGCCAAAUUUUAAGGGGAGGCUCCUUAGAUUGGUCCUGAAAUAAGAACGAUGCAAACUCCGGGCAAAAACCGGUGAGAGAACCACGACCAGCGGCCAGGGACACACUGAUAGCCGAAGUAAGAAUCGAAAAACCCAGGGAACCAAAACAAGGGCAAGAGCAAAAGAACAGCAAACACACAGAAAAAAAAACCAAGAACCCAAAUUUGAAAAUUCACUUCCCAGUAAAGAUAAGAACAGAAAAGGGGUUUCACGCAAGAUGAAGGUAAGAGAAGCACAAUAUAGCUAAGAAACCCCAAAAGCAUAUUCAAACCCAAAUUCACAAACAGACAAUCUCAAAAUCAAUCAAAAACGCAGCCCCCGCUCUGAAUCGUAACAGAAGAAUGCGAAGAAAGAUUGAAAGGGAGAAAACUUACUUGCGAUUUGCCCUUACUCAGACUUCAGGCGGCUGGGCGCAGCUGUGGUGAGGAGAAAACAGAGGGAGAACGAGAGAGAGGGAGAGAGGUCGAAGGGGGCGAGAGAUGAGGGAAGAAGGGAGAUAGGAAGAAGGGGGAAGGGAGAGGAGGCAGGGCCGCCGGCUCCGGUGGCGGCGCUGCCGUCUGGAGGCUGCAGCAGGAGGGAGAACAUGUUUUGCCCUUAAUGGUGGGCCCCACAAAAUAAAAAAAUAAAAAAAAUUAAAAAUUCGGACGGAGUUAACUCUCCGUUAGACGGAGGGGUUUACUUGACGCAAAACAUGGACCUUAGGGGUUUAGUUGAGACACCCCUGCGCAUAGGGUUGUAUUGGCUACAGGGG
rnacentral:lncRNA from 1 species